CCUACGGGCGGCAGCAGUGGGGAAUAUUGGACAAUGGGGGCAACCCUGAUCCAGCCAUGCCGCGUGUGUGAAGAAGGCCCUCGGGUUGUAAAGCACUUUCAGUGAGGAAGAACGCCUGGUGGUUAAUACCCAUCAGGAAAGACAUCACUCACAGAAGAAGCACCGGCUAACUCCGUGCCAGCAGCCGCGGUAAUACGGAGGGUGCGAGCGUUAAUCGGAAUUACUGGGCGUAAAGCGCGCGUAGGUGGCUUGAUAAGCCGGUUGUGAAAGCCCCGGGCUCAACCUGGGAACGGCAUCCGGAACUGUUAAGCUAGAGUGCAGGAGAGGAAGGUAGAAUUCCCUGUGUAGCGGUGAAAUGCGUAGAGAUCGGGAGGAAUACCAGUGGCGAAGGCGGCCUUCUGGACUGACACUGACACUGAGGUGCGAAAGCGUGGGUAGCAAACAGGAUUAGAUACCCUAGUAGUC
rnacentral:rRNA from 1 species